UGAGCGGAAUGGUGGGCGCGGGGGCUGUGUCAGCGCUGCGGGGAUGAAAUGGCCGCUCACGGCCUCUCUUCAGGCCCCUGGGCUUGGGGAGCGGGGAUCCGUGGCCUUCCCGCACAAGGGCGCGUGAAGCCGAGUCCGUGAACGCGGAUUGAAUCAGUCUUGCAGCGAGGCUUCCAUCAAGCCAGGGUACCAGGUAGAGGUACUGAUCCUGCACCUCAACGUUAGGUAUUCUGAGUGGUCCCAUCAAGUUAAGUACAUGCGUUGGGAUCUGGACUUUAUAUUUUAAGCUUUUCAGGCUGGGGACUGUCGCCUACUAUGUGUUUGUACAAUGCCUUGCACAACAGGGCCCUAGUUUUGAUUGGGGCCAUUAGCCACUACUGUAAUACAAAUCAAAUUUAAAGAACAGCUUUUUGUGUUCAGUGUUUAUUAUUUGGUUCUUGUCCUUUGACUGAAAGGGGAACUACUUUAUUCAGCCCAUUAGUGCCUUACUGUGUGAGGUAAAAGGUACAAUUCACAAUGAAUAAUAUGAAAUAUGCUUUCAGUAUAAUUUAUCUGGUACUUGCUAUUUCUGAGCUCUUCAAAUGUGCUGUUGGUAAUAUGUACGAUAUGUGUGAUAAAGCAGGUUGAAUGGGUUUCCAUAUUAUUGGUAUAUGAGACAAGUUCACAUUUUUAGCAAGAUGGCUACUGUCGACAGUAAUUUAGCUGUUUGUAAGAUAAACCAUGGACUACUUCAUUGGAUUUCAGCAUGCUUUAUGCAUGUAUUCAACGUUUUAUUUCAUAGGUUCUCUUAAAUAAUUCUGAAUAGGGCUGUUGAUUAAUUGCAGUUAACUCAGGCAAUUAUCUCAAAGUUAAUUUGAUUAAAAAAAUUAAUCAUGAUUAAUCGCACUGUUAAACAAUAGCAUACCAAUAGAAAUUUAU